UCAGGUACUAUGUUCUGGGUACUUUUAUGGUGCUCUGCCUCAAAGGAACAUGUCCGCAAAUGUAGACUCCGUCAAGCUAACCUUCCGCUCAGAUCUCGAUGUGAAAUGAAAAAAAACUACUGUGGUCAGUUAUAACUGUGAAGUGCAUCAACUCAAUAUAUGGCCAUUACUUUUUAAUGGUCAUCACCACCGCCAAACAUUCCCUCUUAGUCACAUAGUAAUAUCUCAUCGUCUCAUUGAAACAAUAUAGCUCCUAUUCCUAAGUCUGAGGCAUCACACUGGACCUUGAAGCGUUUGGUAAAGUCCGGGUGUGUUAGGACGGGGAUACUUAUAAGAGCUUCCUUCAAUUUUUUCAAAUGCCACCUUGGCCUCCUCUGUGAGCGUGAAUCGUUUUCCUUUUUUGAGGGUUUCGAGUCGCAAUGGUGACAAAGUCGACUAUAAAGCUUCGAUACCUCCCUGCGGUACUCAUUAAACUUCUCUCCUGGUUUACUAUCGUUUCCACUUUUGCCGGAUCAGUCUUCAGUUUGCUACCUCCAGCAAUGUAUCCCAAAUAUCUUAGUUCUUUGAAACAGAACUUUGAGCUAAUGCUACUUGAAAUCACCAGCUAACACAAAACAGCAGUGAGCGACUGAAACUUAAAUGAAAUUAGCUUUUACAUCAAAAUGGCUCAGCAUCAAAAAAGCAGCAUGGCUGCUAUGCUUAGCUCGGUUUUUUUUUGCCAAAAAAAAAUAUUUUUUGAGUUCUGUGCUGCUUAUAACAAUUCCACAUCGCUUGCUUUUAACAAUUCCAAAUAAUAAUAAAAAAAACACGAUAAAGGAACGCGAACGGAAGAAGAUCACCCUACACGGUGGCAAUCAAUUAAUGACACAAGUACUAAGUUCCGAAUUCUGGAUUUUUGGCUAAAGUCGCUAAUCAAACAAGCCAUAUGAAAAUGUCGAAUCUGCUUAAUUCCCAAAAAAAAAAAACAAACCCAAACUCAAAUAAUGGCUUCGCUACCGUCUGAACGUACUUUUCCUUCUCGACCCUUUACAAACACAGGGGUAGCUUUUGCAGGAUCCUUUAACAUUAAAAGUUAUUCAGGAGGAGCCUGCUUUAUUACAAAAGGGUAUGUGUACUUGUUUGUUUGUUUCGCCCCAAGGCUAUACACUUAGAACCCACAAGCGAUUUGUCGACAUAUGCGAUUCUUGCCGCUUUUUCUAGGUUUAUAAGUCGGCGCGAUCGUCCGUCUUGUAUAUUUUCGGACAACGGAACAAACUUUGUGGGAGCGGUUGAUGUACUAAAACGAAAUAGAUUAGCUUUCAUGAAAAAUAUUUAAAAUAGAACGAUUCAAAACAACUUCACUCAAAAUCUGAGGUGUAUUUGUUCUUUUGUCUUCUGGCUUCCAGACCCAAGUAUCGUAAGGCGGGUGAAGGACUGAUCUGCGACCUACUGUACAAUAGUUUCUUGGCCCGAGCCAAAGUGCGAACGGUUACUGCUUCACCGCGAAAGAAGAAUUGCACUAAUGGCCAAAGAUUGGUGAUUGCUACGGAUGUUCAGACAAUCACUAGAGCGAUAAAACCGGAGUGCUUCAAUUUGUAAUCUUAUUUCGAAAUUCUGAUAUCUGCUUUUAGAGUCUAGAAGAUUGGACGCCAGUUCGGAUGAAAAAAAAAAAACAGACGGGGUUCCGAACUGUACGAUUAUCAAAUAUUUUAGCCGAGACUUAUGGAGGGACUACAGUCAGCGCUUCAGGAUUAAACGUAAAAUGUUUUAAUUCAAUUUCAUAGUUUGCACUGAAAAAUGAGAAACAGCUCCCUUCUUUAUAAACGUAAAUAUUGUAUUUUAUUACAAAUUUUAACCAAACAACUUUGUAAGUAUGGCUUGAGACUGACAUUUUAUUUUUAGUCGAUUUAGCGAUGUCCGUCCGUCUGUGGUAGUCACGCUAUCUUUGGAAAGAAUUGAGAUAGAAGGCUAAAAUUUUGCACACCUGUUUAUUUUUCCAGUAGGCUGGUAGGCAGUUAAUUUCGGCCAUGUAGGUCUACUUUUUCAAAUAGCCCCAUAUAACAGUACCUUUCAAUUUUCGGUGUUUGGAUGAUUUUAGAGACAUUAUUCACCGGAAUAGUUUCAAAUUUGGUAUUUGAAGUUUGUAAUAGAUACUACAGCCUAAGACAGAAAAUUGUCUAUGCAAGUCCACGUCUUCGCAUAGCCCCCAUAUAACGGUACCUCCCAAUAUUCGGACGAUUUUAGCGUCAUUAUUCACAGAAAUUGUUUCAAAUUACGUAUUUAGAGUUCGUAAAGGGAACUACAGUCUGUGACAGAAAAUUGUCUAGCAUGUCCAAUACUUCGAUUAGGAUUAUUUCUUCUUUGACUGGAGAAAUGUAUCAACCUUUACCCAUACACUCAUAAAAAAGAACUAUCCUACAGCUAGGGAAUAAUAAAAAACACUUAGUAAGUAGAUAUUCAGGUUAGUCCUCUUAAUAUUAUAUCUUAAAUAAUACUAAUAAAAAUGUCUCCAACUCAGACAAUACUUUCAACUUAAUUCAACUGGAUCUUCCGGCACUCUUGCGAAUUUUGGAUAUGGCUGCCUACUUGCCAACUCAAAACUGGAGAAAAGCCGAACGCAGACCCAGCCCUAGCACUGCCACUCGCCGAACAGUAUACAGCUCAAACAGGCCAACGCGCCGAGACGAAAUGACGCCCACUUCCACCGACAGAAGACAAAGAAGCCGAUCAAGUACCCGAACCAAUCCCCGCUUUGAGCGACCAUGUUUCUGAAAGUUCUCGUUUGGAUUAUGUAAAGAGGACCAUGCCUUAAGUUCUUGCAACAGACUCUCUUUCAAUAAUACGAAACGUUUGAGCGGAGGGGCUACUGCUGAAAUUGUCUCACUCGUAGUCAUUUGGCUCCCGACUGUUCCUCCCUAGCCGGCUGCCGACGAUGCAACAUUCGGCAUCAUACUUUGACUUGAGUUAUGCAGGGCAGUAUUACUAUCAAAAUUAGCAAAAUCAAAUGUAACUAGCCGAUUCUACAAUCGUGUUAGCAUGGUUAAAUAACCUCCUUGUCAUUGGAGCACAUUUGUUGGAAAUAGAGAUAGAUUGCCGAUAAUGUUGGUCAAGAAAAAUGGAGACAUAUUGAUUCGGAAAAUAAUCCAGCUGAUAUUGCGAGCCGUGGAUGUUCGCCUGCAGAGCUAAAGAUUAGUGAUCUCUGGUGGCCUCAAUGGCUCAGAAUGCCAUUGACAAAUUCAACUUGUUUUUAGGGUUUUCUGAGAUAAAUCUGAUCCAGGGUCAAUAAUUGCUCUACACUCCGUAAACUUUAUAAAUGCCAAUUCUUCUUGAUAUUUAAGUAUAAAAUUUAUUUUCAUGUUUUUCUGUUUUUAAGGUUUGUUUUAAAAUUUUGUUCAGUUUAAGAAUGAGUUCAAUUUUUAUUAUUCUAAAUUUUAAAAAAACCGCUAAUUUUUGUUAAAAGUUUUCAACUUUUAGCCUUUCAGUCUUUUAAUUUUGUUUAAUAUUUUUAAGGCUUACAAUUAUAUUGAAUGAAGUUUGGAUUUUGUGUUGUUUGUUUAUUUGUCUCAACAAAAUAAAAAACCAUUUGAAUGAACUUUUCAAAAAGUAAUCCAUCACCAAGAACUUUAUUGUUUUCCUUUGCUGGUUACUGGGAGCCACAUAUUUAACCUUCGUCGCAUGUCAAGUAAAAAAGGAAAGAUUUUCCUGCCAAUUUUCGUCAGGAAAUUGUGAUUGCCAUUUUAAUGUCAUCAUUUUUAUACCCUCCACCUUGGAAAGGAGGGUAUAUUAACUUUGUCAUUCCGUUUGUAACAUCCUUAAAUAUUCGUCUUAGACCCCAUAAAGUAUAUAUAUUCAUAAUCAGCAUAAAAUUCGAUUAACGAUGUCCGUCUGUCUGUCUGUCUGUCUGUUGAAAUCACGAUACAGCCCACAUUAUUUGACGUAGAGGGCCAAAAUUUAGCAGAGCUAUUUGCAUUGUGUCUAGGAUCUUUGGUAUUGAAAAUAUAUCGGUCCACGUUCUGGUAUAGUCCCCAUAUAACGGUACCUUCCGUUAUUCGGUAUUUUGAUGACUUAUGCCACAUUUUUUCACGGAUUUGUCUGAAAAUUGGUAUUUGUAGGUCAUAACGGGUCCCUGAGCGUGUGGCAAAACAUUGCAUGUAUAGGUCCACGUUGUGGUAUAGCCCCCAUAUAAAGGUACCUCCCGAUAUUCGGUAUUUUAUUUUUUUUUGCCACAUUUUUUCACGGAUUUGUCUAAAAAUUGGUAUAUGUGGGUCAUAAUGGUUUCCAGCUCCGGUGGCGAAACAUUGCAUGUAUGGGCCCAUGAUUUGGUAUAACCCUCAUAUAACGGUACUUCCCGAUAUUCGGUAUUUUGAUGGUUUUUGCCACAUUUGUUCACUGAUUUGUCUAAAAAUUGGUAUUUGUGGGUCAUAAUGGGUUCCAGCUCCGGUGGCGAAAUAUUGCAUGCAUGGGUCCAUGAUUUGAUAUAGCCCCCAUAUAACGGUACCUCCCGAUAUUCGGAAUUUUAAUGGUUUUUGCCACAUUUCUUCUAAUGUUUCUUUUACCCUAAGGUGGAGGGUAUUAAAAGUUUGACCCGGCCGAACUUAAUGUUUUUUUACUUGUUCUGUUUUAUUUCCCCCCUUCUUAUCACUUAGGCAACUGGAAAACUCAGCUGGUUUACGUACAACUGUUGGCAACAAUCUUCUUCUUAUUGUUGCCAUUUUUUAAAUGGUUAACCCUUUAAGAGGCGUACACCACAAGGAUACAAUGCUUGGCCUACUAUCCGUGAUCUAUUCCGAGUUGAAAAGCUCUUUCAUUUGACAGGAGAGUUAAGAGAGAUAAUUAGUAAUGUUCCACUUACAAAUGACGUUCUCCAUUUGGCAUUGGAGAAUCUUACAGAGCGGUACGAAAAUAGAAGGAUGCAGGUCAACGCACAUAUAAAAUUGCUGUUUUAUUUACCCAAUGUAAUAUUUGAUUCAAGUAGCAAAAUUCAAAAAAUUCAACUUACAAUAAAUAGUAGAAUUCAGACUCUAGAGACUCUUGGUGUAAAAAAUCUAAAUUUGCUAACAAUUUUCAAUCCAAUACAUGGUCUAAUUCCCAAUCACAAGCGGUUUCAAUAAAUAAACAAACUUCGAAUCAACAGCCAAAGACUCAACAUUAACAAAAAUUUCCUCUUUGUGCAGCAAAUCACUUUAUCAGAGGUUGUCCUCAAUUCGUAGGAAAGUCAUUUAAUGACAUAAUUCAUAUAGUAAAGAUUUCACACCUAUGUUAUAAUUGUCUUUCGUCGUAUCAUGGCGUAAAAGAAUGCAAAAGUCGGUUUGGUUGUCGAUCUCCCAAUAUGAGACACCAUUCCAUGCUACAUAUGGUAACGGAAACCCAAAAUAUAGCUGGAGAUGGCGUACGUUCUAGUACCAGUGCUUCAGCUCUCACCACAACAAUACAGUCCACAUAACCAGCAAUUAUUAUAGCCCUGACCCUUCAAGAGCAAACCAUUUUCGAAUAUAAGAAUAUAUAAAACAGAGGACACUCAUUUGACGCCAGAGCAAUUAUUGACCCUAGAUCAAAAUCUACAUUUAUCUCAGAAAACCCUAAAAACAAGUUGAAUUUGUCAACCAAAAACCAUGUUUAUGUUACGAGAAUUAGCCAAAUUGUCACGUAAACUUCUACAAAAUCUUGCAUUUUGACUCUUCGUCCUCGUUUAGAUCCUAGUAUUGAGUUAGACGUAUGAGCGCCAGUUUUGAAGACCCUUCCAUUUAAUUUACCUCACAAAAUAUCGAAAAGAGUAAACUUACAAAUAUGAUUGGCAUUAACUUAGCAACAUGCUAACAUCAAACAGGAUCGCUUGGCUACUAAACUUAGAGUAGUAUCUAAUGCCUACUGCCCUACUUCAAAUUAAAAAAGUAUUAACGAUAAUCUUUUCGCCAAUACUCCAACUGUAUCUCGUUCUGAAAAUAUUGAAUUGGAGAUUCUUCAAAUAUGUUUAAAAUGCACAUGUUACCCAAGUAUAUGUUUAAAAUGCAGAUGUUACCUAAGUGUACCGACACAUUACAUUGGAUAGAAGUCAUAUACGAUUACAAAGAAUUCUGUUUAGAAGAUCUCUUACAGACCCAGUGGAAGAUUAUUAACUUUUAACAGUCACAUUCGGAGUGAACUUCGCACUUUCUAGCACUUCGUACUCUCCUGCAAUUACCAAAAUACGUCAAAGGAACAUAUCCCAGAUCAUCGGAAAUCAUAUUACAAAAUUUAUAUGUAGAUGACGUCAAAGCGUUAAAAUCACGCAGAGAACUAAUUGCAGGUUUCGAAUCUGCGGAUAGAUGGAUAAAAUACGUUCCAACGAAACAGAUAGAAAUUCAUGGAUUUCUGACACCUCAGAAAGUUCAUACGGCGUAGCAAAUACCGCUGAUGUAGCAGGUCGACUUAAAGCAACAUAAUUUGUGGUGGCAAGGACCACAGUGGAUGAAAUAUCCAAAAACAAUUUAGCCAUCGAAUAAUAAAUCCAUAUAUUGAUUUCAAUGGCAUUAUUAUUGUUAGAAAAUGAAAGACACCCAAUAUUGUUACCAUAUACAUAUAUAUAGAUAUAAAGUUACGACUAUUGAUAGAGUUGACACAAAAAAUAACAUUGCACGAAGGAAAUCAACUCAAUCUCGAAUUUUAUGUUCUGAAUAUUGGAUAUUCAAGUUAAAAGUCUUAGUAAGAAAACUAUUCAUAACUGCAAAGUAUGCACACUGUAUCGAAAACGUAAUCAAAACAUGGCUUCUCUUCUGUUUGAAAGAACUUCCCUUACAAGACCUUUCUACAACAUUGGGGAUCUUUCCACUGAAUCUUUUAUAGCCGCUUUCAUUCGCUUCAUAGUUCAAAAAGGAUGUCCCUUCUGUGAAUAUUCCCGAAAAAAAGAUGGAACAAUAUUUAUGAAAUAACUUAGAUCGAAAGCCAUAAUACAAAACUAUCAUCAAAUUUUAAUAUGGAAAUUGAUACCUCCAGGAGCUCCUCACAUGGGCGGAUUGUGGGAAACAGGAGUUAAGUCCUUUAAAAUACAUCUUCAUCUUUCGAAAGAUUUAAUACGAUACUAAUUCGCAUAGAUUCUUGUCUCAGUUCAGGACCUUUAAGUCCGGCAAGUGACGAUCCUAAUGAAAUAGCUCCAUUAACUCCACCGGAUUUCCUAAUUGUGUCGCCUCUGCUAGAACCAGCAGAACCUGAUAUAUCCGACUGAGAUAUUCCAUGGAAAAUGGAUGGAAAACUGAUUACUUGAAUGAACUCAAAUAAAGACACAAAGAUAACAUUUAAGAAGGUGCCUCGUGGUUCUGAAAGACGAAUGCGAAUCAAGAACUUAAUGGAGAUUGGGACGCAUUGUCUGAACGUUCAAAGGGGUUGGCCUAAAUAUCAGUGUUGAAGACAUCAAAACUAAUAGCGGUGUAACUAGUCGACCCAUAACCAAAGUUGCCCAACUUUUUACCGACUGACUAGUCGGACCCAUUUUAAUUAAUAAACAUGGUACUGACUUUUCCUCACUUACGGAUAUAGCAGCUUACCUUCCCAAUCGCAACUGGGAAGAUGACGAGGAAGAGAGACUCACUAACCGACGUCUGCAACGGCAACAACAGUAAGAACACACUGUCCUGGUGCAUGAAAGGAACAAUGUCAAGAAUUGCCUAUUAAGAAUUUCAACGACUAGGACAUUAGUCAUUCAUCUACCAAAGAAAACGAUUUUAAACCUUUAAAAUAAUGAAAAUGCAUACAAACGGCACUUGGGCAAUAAAGGUGAACAUCAUCAUCACCGAUUAUUUGUCACGCAGACCCUACUUCGACCCACUUCUCAAAUGUUUCAAAAGUGCGUUAUAUUUUCAAUCAAAAAUGCGAAGACAGGCUGUCUGUGGCGUUGCAAAUCAUUUUUAAUUAUUCGAAGUUUUGUUAUGAAGUCGAUAGGCACAACAUCCCCCGUCGUGACCGUCAACAGUUAAAAAUGCUACAAAUGUUAGAAUAAGUGGCAAAUAAAUUAUCAAGAUAAAAUGCACAGCUUUGAAAACUAUAACUUAAUAUAAAUUACAAAUUGUACUAUUACUUACCUUAGUAAAUUAUAAUACUUACCUUUUCUAAAAAGUUGUUAAUAAACCUGAAGAAAAAAAUUAAAACAAUUCAUUUUGUCGAAAAAAAACUAAAAAACAUAAGUGUGAGUGGAAAACAGUUACUUUUACCACUUCCGCUCUCCUGCUCACCUAACGCCAUAGCCUCACUUCCAACAACACUGCUUUCACAAGCGUUUUGCACAUUUUCACCUUCAAUCUCCACAUUCUUCAUUCUAGGUUUCCUUCCUACUCACUGUCUAACCGACACAAAAUGAGGGAAUCCGGCAUCAUUGUGCUAUCCUUUUCGGUCAUUACUUAUGGCCACAAACAUAUAUACGCCCCUUUCUGAGGUGUCAGAAAUCCAUGUAUGAAGUUAAAAAAAAUAAUAACAUUUUUGAGCUACAAAUUAAAAGCUCCUCAGCACAAAUGUGCUUAAAAAUUAAAAGCAAACAUAAAUACUAAUAACUUAUUGUAAAAUUGUUUAAUUAUUCGCCACAAUAAAUAACGAAUGCACAAGAAAUAAGUUUUCGAUCAGCUGUGUGACGGAUAGUGUAUUCAGAAU